rnacentral:rRNA from 1 species
AGAACGUCGUGAGACAGUUCGGUCCCUAUCCGUCGUGGGCGCAGGAAAUUUGAGGAGAGCUGUCCUUAGUACGAGAGGACCGGGAUGGACGCACCGCUGGUGUACCAGUUGUUCUGCCAAGGGCAUAGCUGGGUAGCUAUGUGCGGACGGGAUAAGUGCUGAAAGCAUCUAAGCAUGAAGCCCCCCUCAAGAUGAGAUUUCCCAUAGCGUAAGCUAGUAAGAUCCCUGAAAGAUGAUCAGGUUGAUAGGUUCGAGGUGGAAGCAUGGUGACAUGUGGAGCUGACGAAUACUAAUAGAUCGAGGACUUAACCA